GCAACUCUUGGCGGCUUCCUUAUAUGCAUUUAGCGGACAGAUGGGUAGCUUGCUCCCUGAUGUUAGCGGCGGACGGGUGAGUAACACGUGGGUAACCUGCCUGUAAGACUGGGAUAACUCCGGGAAACCGGGGCUAAUACCGGAUGGUUGUUGAACCGCAUGGUUCAGACAUAAAAGGUGGCUUCGGCUACCACUUACAGAUGGACCCGCGGCGCAUUAGCUAGUUGGUGAGGUAACGGCUCACCAAGGCGACGAUGCGUAGCCGACCUGAGAGGGUGAUCGGCCACACUGGGACUGAGACACGGCCCAGACUCCUACGGGAGGCAGCAGUAGGGAAUCUUCCGCAAUGGACGAAAGUCUGACGGAGCAACGCCGCGUGAGUGAUGAAGGUUUUCGGAUCGUAAAGCUCUGUUGUUAGGGAAGAACAAGUGCCGUUCAAAUAGGGCGGCACCUUGACGGUACCUAACCAGAAAGCCACGGCUAACUACGUGCCAGCAGCCGCGGUAAUACGUAGGUGGCAAGCGUUGUCCGGAAUUAUUGGGCGUAAAGGGCUCGCAGGCGGUUUCUUAAGUCUGAUGUGAAAGCCCCCGGCUCAACCGGGGAGGGUCAUUGGAAACUGGGGAACUUGAGUGCAGAAGAGGAGAGUGGAAUUCCACGUGUAGCGGUGAAAUGCGUAAAGAUGUGGAGGAACACCAGUGGCGAAGGCGACUCUCUGGUCUGUACUGACCUGAGAGCGAAAGCGUGGGGAGCGACAGGAUUAAUACCCUGGUUAUCCCCCCGUAACAUGAGUGCUAAUGUUAGGGGGUUUCCCCCCU
rnacentral:rRNA from 1 species